CAGCCAGCGCUGCCCAGGCCCAGAGGAAGAUGAAGGUCGCUGUGCUCAGCGUGGCCCUGCUCUUCACCAUCCUGCUGAGCCCCCCAGCAGAUGCCUGGAUGGGUCCCCCUUCCCACCAGGAUCACUUCAGGGAUGGGUUCAGGGAUGGGCUCAGGGUCGGGUCUUGUCGCCCUGGCUUCGGCUCUGGUGCAGGACUGGAUCGUGGUGACCAUCAUCAACACAGGUUGGGGUUCCUGCAUCCUGGGAGGCAUCAUCAGGGGAGGGACGAAUGGCCAGGUGGGUGCCAGGAGUUGUUCUGGGCCCAGACCCUCCUCUCUCAUGGCCACGACCGUCCAAGGCACCCCAAUGCACCCCAGUGUUUCCUGGGGAGGCCUCUUUCUCCGGGCCCCCACUGUAAUCCCAUCCAUCCCAGUACACCCCAGUACACACUCAGGACAUCAUUUCCCAUCCAUUUCCUCCCUGCUUUCCCCCCAGUCCUUUCCC